ACAGUUUGGCCGUGUAAUCCAUAGAAAGUUUGGUGGUAAAUCCCUAUUUCUAUCUCCUCAUAAUCAUUUUUUCUCUUCUUGGAAGAAUAUGAAACUUAAUCUUAAAAUGAACUUUUAGACUCUAAUUCUUAUAGGGCUCCCAAGUUGGAACCCUUCUAUAUUUUUCUCUAUAAAAUUGAAUGACAAUUGCCUUUAAGAUUAUGUAUUUGAAAGUUAGGGGAACUAUUAUGUACUCUAUAAUGAAUAGGAACUAUUUGUGGUGCUUUCUGACAGAUUAAGCUUCUAGAGAUAGUUGUGUAAAGCUUAUUUAAUUGCUAAAAAGAGUUUCUUAAAUUGCCAAAAUGUGUUUUGAAUUUGCUUCUCAAUAUUGCUUCCUUAACAUAUAAAGGGCUUGAUGAUUAGUGAAUAAAAUUGAAAUGCAUCUUACAUGAUAUUAUUAUGAAUAUAGAUAUUUCAAGUCAUUUUGCAACAACGUAUGUGAAAUCUAACAGCAUCUGAUGUCCAUAACUAGAUUCUGUAAGCAGCAAACCAUACAUUUGAUUGGAUUUGUGAAUGCUAAAUAUGUGCUCUUUAAUGAACAGGAACUAGAUUCUCUCGACAUUAUUAGACUUUUCACUUUUGUGAGGUGCAAACUGGAAUUUUGUGUAUGGACAUGAUGCUAUAGAUUUCUGUUGGGUAUCAGUAUAGCCAAUUCAUAUUUCAUGGGGCUGGUAUCUCACCCUUUCAAUUGCCAGGUGCUCUAUACAAAGGCAUAUAUUAAUUUUGAAAUAUCAAAGGGUGUGGUUGAAUGGAUCAGAGAGCUUGAUGAGAGACUUAUAGACAUAUUAAAGCAUUUGAAGGUCUGGAUAAGCCAUAAAAAGUUGGAGGUUACUUUUAACUUUGUGCCUAGAUAGAAUAAACCACUCAAAUUUCUUAUAUUGGUGUACUGUUUUAAGAGAUUUGAGCUUUUAUAGGACUUUGAACUUCUGUUAAUAUUCAUGUAUUACUUAAGGUUUUUUUUUUGUAUGGAAACUUCCAUAUGGAUCUAACA